UGAGUGACCUGCCCUUAGCUCUGGGAUAAGCCUGGGAAACUGGGUCUAAUACCGGAUAUGACUCCUCAUCGCAUGGGUGGGGGGUGGAAAGCUUUUUUGUGGUUUUGGAUGGACUCGCGGCCUAUCAGCUUGUUGGUGAGGUAAUGGCUCACCAAGGCGACGACGGGUAGCCGGCCUGAGAGGGUGACCGGCCACACUGGGACUGAGACACGGCCCAGACUCCGUACGGGAGGCAG
rnacentral:rRNA from 1 species